rnacentral:rRNA from 1 species
AGCGAACGCUGGCGGCAGGCCUAACACAUGCAAGUCGAACGAACCUUUCGGGGUUAGUGGCGGACGGGUGAGUAACACGUGGGAACGUGCCUUUAGGUUCGGAAUAACUCAGGGAAACUUGUGCUAAUACCGAAUGUGCCCUUCGGGGGAAAGAUUAAUCGCCUUUAGAGCGGCCCGCGUCUGAUUAGCUAGUUGGUUGAGGUAAUGGCUCACCAAGGCGACGAUCAGUAGCUGGUCUGAGAGGAUGAUCAGCCACAUUGGGACUGAGACACGGCCCAAACUCCUACGGGAAGCAGCAGUGGGGAAUCUUGCGCAAGGGGCGAAAGCCUGACGCAGCCAUGCCGCGUGAAUGAUGAAGGUCUUAGGAUUGUAAAAUUCUUUCACCGGGGACGAUAAUGACGGUACCCGGAGAAGAAGCCCCGGCUAACUUCGUG